rnacentral:rRNA from 1 species
AUUGAACGCUGGCGGCAGGCCUAACACAUGCAAGUCGAACGAGUGGCGGACGGGUGAGUAAUUUCUGGGAAACUGCCCGAUGGAGGGGGAUAACUACUGGAAACGGUAGCUAAUACCGCAUCCCAUCGGAUGUGCCCAGAUGGGAUUAGCUAGUAGGUGGGGUAAUGGCCCACCUGGGCGACGAUCCCUAGCUGGUCUGAGAGGAUGACCCGCAACACGGGAACUGAGCCACGGUCCAGACUCCUACGGGAGGCAGCAGUGGGGAAUAGUGAAAAAUGGGCGCAAGCCUGAUGCAGCCAUGCCGCGUGUAUGAAGAAGGCCUUCGGGUUGUAAAGUACUUUCAGCGAGGAGGCGUUACUCGCAGAAGAAGCACCGGCUAACUCCGUGCCAGCAGCCGCGGUAAUUC